AUGUGAAGACCUUAGUUCUUCAACUAGGAUGUGUACCGAGGAUCCUGCUAUCUGAAAGUUACGCAACAAAAGAACCAGCCCCAAAGCUUGGAAUUCCUGUGUGCGCUGGAAGUUCUUUUAUGAGAAAUUGUUCUGAGAGCUCAGAUAUGUACGCCUCUACUCCUUUUAUUGCUAACAGCUGUGACUUCAAGACCAACUUGACUCAAAUGGAAGCAUGUCUGGCUCAAACUUCUGGUGCGAUUGGACAAGUUCAAGGUAUUGAUCAUCCUUCUGUUGCUAUGUUUCAAGCCUCUGACUUUUGUCGAAGUCCGUUGGCAUCUCAUGUAGAACAAUACCAAGCAAAAAUUGGUCCAUCAGCAAAUACAAAUAGUCCUUCUACAGGCCAACUGGCAAAUGGAGUUGCAAAAGCUGAAGUAAUGUGCUCAAACCCUGAAGUUUCAUUGAAUCAGCAAAGUUUUCUGUGCAUUCCAAGGUCGACAUUCAAUUGUCAACCUGCUAUUGGCUCAUCAGAUAUAAAUCGCGGCAGCUUAAAAUUUCUGGAACAACAAAUCUUAUCCAACAGUAGUUUCCAGAAUCAUAUGGAUAAAAGUUUCAAUGUAUCCAACAACAUGAUGAUGUCCAUUCUAAGAGCUAAUGCAGGCCUAGUAUCCAGUUCUUCUCAAGAUUCUGUCACUUGCCAAUCAGCUAAUGUAGGUGAAUCGUAUGGUGGU
rnacentral:lncRNA from 1 species